rnacentral:snRNA from 1 species
GGAAGCGUGUGGGAUGACACAACUAAGCAUCGAUCGUUAUGUAGAUCACUAUGUGGCAGAUCUGUUCAGUUAGUGUUAUCAUAUGUCGUCUUGAGCUUUUCAGAUCAUCCGAUAAGCUUCUUGAUCAGAUUCCCGAUUGCGCAUGCAACUUCGUUUUAAGAUCACGGAUUUGCACGCCUGCACGGUCGAAUCUUCAUUCCUCAUAGUACCGCGAUUUCCAAAUUUGGGGGGUAAUCGAUUUGGUCAGAGGUAAUUUAUCGCUUCCACAUGCAGGCACUGCUGAUGGCGGUACGCCAUCUUUUUUUG